CUGCGGUGAUGACUUUCUUAGGACACCUUUGGAUUUCAACGUGAAAACAAAGCGUAAUUCCUGAGCAGC
rnacentral:snoRNA from 1 species